UACAGGGGGUGCAAACGUUGCUCGGAAUCAUUGGGCGUAAAGCGCACGUAGGCGGUCUGUUAUGUCGGAUGUGAAAGCCCUCGGCUCAACCGUGGAGGGUCAUUGGAAACUGGGGAACUUGAGUGCAGGAGAGAAGAGUGGAAUUCCACGUGUAGCGGUGAAAUGCGUAGAGAUGUGGAGGAACACCAGUGGCGAAGGCGACUCUUUGGCCUGUAACUGACACUGAGGCGCGAAAGCGUGGGGAGCAAACAGG
rnacentral:rRNA from 1 species